rnacentral:rRNA from 1 species
CCUUCGGGUGGCAGCAGUGGGGAAUAUUGCGCAAUGGGCGAAAGCCUGACGCAGCGACGCAGCGUGAGGGAUGAAGGUCUUCGGAUCGUAAAACUCUGUCAGCAGGGAAGAACGGUCACUGUGCUAAUCAGCAGUGAAUUGACGGUACCUGCAAAGGAAGCACCGGCUAACUCCGUGCCAGCAGCUGCGGGAAGACGGAGGGUGCGUACGUUAAUCGGAAUUACUGGGCGUAAUGCGUUCGUAGGCGGUAUGUCAAGUCAAGGGUGAAUUCCCACCGCUCAACGUUGGAACUGCCUUUGAAACUGGCAAACUGGAGUGUGUGAGAGGAUAGUGGAAUUCCAGGUGUAGGAGUGAAAUCCGUAGAUAUCUCGAGGAACAUCAGUGGCGAAGGCGACUAUCUGGCACAUAACUGACGCUGAGGAGCGAAAGCGUGGGUAGCAAACAGGAUUAGAUACCCUGGUAGUC